AACGCGAAGAACCUUACCUGGGUUUGACAUCCCCGGACAGCCCUAGAGAUAGGGUUUCCCCUUCGGGGGCCGGGAGACAGGUGCUGCAUGGCUGUCGUCAGCUCGUAUCGUGAGAUGUCGGGUUAAGUCCCUUAACGAGCGCAACCCUUGUCCCUAGUUGCCACCAUUUAGUUGGGCACUCUAGGGAGACUGCCGGUGUUAAACCGGAGGAAGGUGGGGAUGACGUCAAGUCCUCAUGGCCCUUAUGUCCAGGGCAACACACGUGCUACAAUGGCCGGUACAAAGGGUUGCUAACCCGCGAGGGGGAGCUAAUCUCAGAAAGCCGGUCUCAGUUCGGAUUGAAGUCUGCAACUCGACUUCAUGAAGCUGGAAUCGCUAGUAAUCGCGGAUCAGAACGCCGCGGUGAAUACGUUCCCGGGCCUUGUACACACCGGCUAC
rnacentral:rRNA from 1 species